UUUGAUUUUUUUUUUUUUUUUUUUUCUCUCUGGCAAGGCGCGGUUUGCGCAUCUGCCAAUGUCAACGUUUUUGGUUAGACAGUUUAUAAAGUAAGUUGCACUUUGUAAAAUAAAGUUAGGGAAACAACAGGAAAUAAAAUGAAGACCGGGGAAUUACGGGAUAGGAUCAGAGGAAUAUAUUUAAAAUAAAUAAGAAAUAGGAAAAACUGAAAAGGAACACCAAGUGAGGACAGGCUGGAAUAAAGGGAAGAAUGAUCAUGGUUAGGACAAGAAAAUAUAAGGUGAUUUAGAUCCCCAACAUCACACCCACAACUACAUGCCGAAGAUUCCACAAUUCCAAGCCUCGCAAGACGAGCUGGGGUACAUACGUGCCCCAGACGCAUCCGUAUUAAAACAGACGUAGCCGUCCUGCCAAGCUUCAAACCGCAGAACCACGGCCGCAGUGGUAUCGUAGGCUGGAUUAGGUAAUAAAAUUUGCCCUUUGACAUACCGCUAGAUGUCCAAAGUUCACUCCAGGAUUCCCGAAGAUGAACUCUAGGCAAAGCGGCCAAGUCAUGGCUAUAAUUUUUAUACGGAAAUAAAUCUCCACAGUCCACCGCUUGAUUGGCCAGUU